CAUGUAGGGGAGCAGGUGCCUUAAAGUCUCGCUUCGCCCCCAAAAGGAGAAGAAACUGUGUGCCACAGGCAGAGAACAGGAGAGACCAAGCUUUCAGCAAUGCCCAGGGCCCCUGAAAUGAAAUCAGUUCAUUAGCCAGCAAGAAAAUGCAGCCACCUCUGUGAUGGGACACAUCGCCUGUUGAAUAGAAAACAGAAGUGCUACAUCACAGCUGGGGAGGAAAAAUGAAGGCUGCUGGACCCAGCUGAAAUUGCAGAAGGAAUUUAAGGGGACUUAGUCAUGGACUAGCACCCCAUUGCGCUAGGGGCUGUACUAAAACAGAAGAAGAAGAGG